rnacentral:rRNA from 1 species
ACACUCCUGCGGGAGGCAGCAGUGGGGAAUAUUGGACAAUGGGCGCAAGCCUGAUCCAGCCAUGCCGCGUGAGUGAUGAAGGCCCUAGGGUUGUAAAGCUCUUUCACCGGUGAAGAUAAUGACGGUAACCGGAGAAGAAGCCCCGGCUAACUUCGUGCCAGCAGCCGCGGUAAUACGAAGGGGGCUAGCGUUGUUCGGAUUUACUGGGCGUAAAGCGCACGUAGGCGGACUAUCAAGUCAGGGGUGAAAUCCCGGGGCUCAACCCCGGAACUGCCUUUGAUACUGGUAGUCUUGAGUUCGAGAGAGGUGAGUGGAAUUCCGAGUGUAGAGGUGAAAUUCGUAGAUAUUCGGAGGAACACCAGUGGCGAAGGCGGCUCACUGGCUCGAUACUGACGCUGAGGUGCGAAAGCGUGGGGAGCAAACAGGAUUAGAUACCCCGGUAGUCCCAUGA